AUCAGCCGCGGUAAUUCCAGCUCCAAUAGCGUAUAUUAAAGUUGUUGCAGUUAAAAAGCUCGUAGUUGAAUUUCGGGAUCAAUAUUUCGGUCAUGCCGUUGGUAUGCACUGUUAUCAUUGAUUUCUCACCUUCUAAAGAACCGUAAUGCCAUUAAUUUGGUGUUACGGGGAAUUAGGACUGUUACCUUGAAAAAAUUAGAGUGUUUAAAGCAGGCUCGCGCUUGAAUACAUUAGCAUGGAAUAAUGAAAUAGGACGUUAAUCCUAUUUUGUUGGUUUCUAGGAUCGACGUAAUGAUUAAUAGGGAUAGUUGGGGGCAUUAGUAUUCAAUUGUCAGAGGUGAAAUUCUUGGAUUUAU
rnacentral:rRNA from 1 species